rnacentral:lncRNA from 1 species
GCACUCAUGACUCACCAGCCGAAUCCUAGGAAGUCUGGAGAAAGAGAAGUCUGCAUAAUCUCCAUGUUUGGAAAGCAAAUUUACCGAGUAUCCUUUGAGAACUGGAAGCAGCUACACUCCAUGCAUUCAGUCUCCUGAUUCUCGGUGAAGAACAAGAGGAUCCAGUAUUGUGUAGAGGUCCUUCUUUGUCAUCUGAUGAUGGGAUGAUGGCUGUUUUGGUGAUGACUUUCCAAAACUGUGUUAGUACUUGUAGUCAAAACUCUGAAUUUCCAUCCUGAAUGGCAAAGAGAUCGUCAGG